rnacentral:misc_RNA from 1 species
UCCCUCUACACCUCCUACAGUCUACUCUGAUGCAUUUCUUUAUACAAAUAGCUUUAUUUCCCCUAAUCAAUCCAAUUCAGCCAAACCACCAAUUUCCAAUUUCAGGGGAAUUUGUGAAGCACAGGUGGGUGAAAUGAAGGAGGAGAAGAAGGACGAGUGAUUAAGGUAAUAGGGGAGAAUUGUUGCUCUAGUUACCUGGUUGAGAACAGAGAGAGAGCAAGACAGAAUGGGAGAGAUCAGCGAUACGAAUCGUGGGUCGCAACUCGCUAGUCGCUAGGCUUUUGCUGUAACGGUUUGAGGCUAGCAGAUAUUUGA